UCAACUCAAAGGCAAUCUGACAUACUAGAAACCGGAUAUUAGCACAGGAAGUUGAAAGCCACGGUUCUGGUGCAAAUCGGCAGAGUUAGGGAAGGCUUGUUUGGAGGUACAUCUGAACAGGAUUUGGAAGAACGAAAAGGAAUAAACCAGACAAAGAAAGAUGGCAAUCUGUCCACGAAGAGUCCAGGAAGGCUGUGGCAUGCGUGUAAAGAGAAAGGUCUCCAAAGGAAAACUCGUGGCUUCUGAGGCCCCCAGGAAGAGAAAAAUCUUCCUUCUGCUGUUUGCACGCUUGGGAUACUGGUAAAGAAGGAAUCUGUUUUCUGAGCACAGAAAUCUUUUGAAUUCUUGCAUCAUCUCCAACUCGAGCAGAACCGAUUCAGGACAGGAAUGACAGAAGUUGGAAGAGAAGCAGGAAACAGGUCAGAUGCAGGACCAGGCUAUUGAGAGCAUCACUCGGAUACCCUCCUUCGGACCCAGCUCCCUUUGGGGAGAAGACAGGGAUACAGUGGGGGAAGCACCAGCACGGCUGCUGGGUGGUGAGGUGGAAGGUAGAUGCUUCCUAUCUGACCACACCCAUCUUCUCUCUGAAUAUAUUUAA
rnacentral:lncRNA from 1 species